rnacentral:tRNA from 1 species
GGGCAAUUAGCUCAGCUGGUUAGAGUAUUACCUUGACAUGGUAGGGGUCACUGGUUCGAUCCCAGUAUUGCCCAC